rnacentral:RNase_P_RNA from 1 species
GUAAAUCAGGCAGUCGCGGGCAGAAGCCGAAAGGCUCUGUCCGAGGAAAGUCCGGGCUUCACAGAGCGAGGAUAACGGCUAACGGCCGCCGGGGGCGACCCCAGGGAAAGUGCAACAGAGAAUGACUGCAUCCGUUUUUCGGGUGCGAUGGUGGAAAGGUGAGGUAAGAGCUCACCGGGGUGGCGGAGACGUCACCGCCGUGUAAACCCUAUCCGAAGCAACACCGCGGAGGGACAUACGGCCUGCUCGGCUGUCCUGUGGAGGUGGCACCGAGCCGUCGCGGCAACGCGCGGCCAAGAUAGAUGACUGCCGAAUACAGAACCCGGCUUACAGAUUUGCUCG